rnacentral:rRNA from 1 species
ACGUUCCCCUUCGGGGGCAGAGUGACAGGUGGUGCAUGGUUGUCGUCAGCUCGUGUAGGGAGAUGUUGGGUUAAGUCCCGCAACGAGCGCAACCCUUGAUCUUAGUUGCCAGCAUUCAGUUGGGCACUCUAAGGUGACUGCCGGUGACAAACCGGAGGAAGGUGGGGAUGACGUCAAAUCAUCAUGCCCCUUAUGACCUGGGCUACACACGUGCUACAAUGGACAGAACAAAGGGCAGCGAAACCGCGAGGUUAAGCCAAUCCCACAAAUCUGUUCUCAGUUCGGAUCGCAGUCUGCAACUCGACUGCGUGAAGCUGGAAUCGCUAGUAAUCGCGGAUCAGCAUGCCGCGGUGAAUACGUUCCCGGGUCUUGUACACAC